rnacentral:rRNA from 1 species
GAUUUCUGGUACGGCGCACUUGGCCCGUCGCGGUUACGCGUAUGUGUGCCGGUGUGCGCCUGCCAUCCAUCUGGAAAACGCCGUCGCCCUUCACUGCGGUGGCCGGUGCUAUCCAGAUCUUUUACUUUGAAAAAAUUAGAGUGUUUAAAGCAGGCUUGUGCUAUGAAUACAUUAGCAUGGAAUAAUAAUUUAGGACUUUGGUCUUAUUUUGUUGGUUUCUAGGACUAAAGUAAUGAUUGAUAGGGACAGUUGGGGGUGCUAGUAUUCAGCGGCCAGAGGUGAAAUUCUUGGAUUCGCUGAAGACUAACUUAUGCGAAAGCAUU